rnacentral:rRNA from 1 species
CCUACGGGAGGCAGCAGUAGGGAAUCUUCCUCAAUGGGCGCAAGCCUGAUGGAGCCAAGUCGCGUGGGUGAAGACGGUCUUCGGAUCGUUAAACCUCGUUUUUCGAGAAGUAAGUGCGUGCGCGUAACUGUUUACGUUUCGACGGUAUCUAACCAGAUCGCCUCGGCUAACUACGGGCCACCCGCCGCGGUAAUACGUAGGUGGCAUGCGGUAUCCGGAUUUAUUUGGCGUAAAGGGAACGCAGGCGGUCCUUUAAGUCUGAUGGGAAAGCCUUCGGGUUAAACGGAGUAGUGCAUUGGAAACUGGGAGACUUGAGUGCAGGAGAGGUGAGUGGAA